CUUGGCGGACGGCCCCGCCGGCGGGGCUGAUGAGUGUCUACGGGGCGGUCUGUGUCCACGUAGGCCGGUUUCACCCGGUCGAUGGUGACCACCUCUUCUCUGCCUCCUCGCUCGAUGCGAAGGAUCUUCCCCGUGUUGGCCAGCACUUUGUACGGGCCCUCGUACGGUGGGUCCAGCGGGCCCCGGUGGGCGUCGAUCCGGACGAAGACGUAUUUGGCCUGCGGCAGCGCUGGGUGAACCCACGGUCGUUGCGCUCCGUGCGGGAACACUGGUGCGGGAGGCACCAAGUGAUGGAAGGUUUGGAGCUGGAACGCGCUCGGCGGCGCCGUGCCGUGGUCGUCGGCGGCGAGGAGGCGGCCCGGAACUGCAAGGGGGGCCCCGUAG